UGUGUGUGUGCAGAUAUGGGUCUGUGUGUGUGUCUGAGCGCCACCCCUCCCUCUUCUCUUUCUGGGGGUGAAGCGUUUAUGUUCUCUGACCUGCUGUGUGUCUAUAGAGUAACUUUAUGAGAGUUGAGGAUUGAUAAGGAAUGAUAUUUGCUUUAUAUAGUUAAAACUUAAGGAGCCUUUGUAGGGGACUUUGCUGAAAAAAUUAAUAAAUAAAUAAAUAGAUUUAUGAGCGUCUUAUAUGGAGGACAAUUAAACUUAGAAUCACUAGUUAAAGUAACUAAUGUUUAUAAAAUUUGAAUAUUAUUAAUGUGAGGAGGAAAAGUCAUAUGGAUAAGGAGUCCUAUGUUUUGUUUUACCUUUAUAUGGUUAUAAACAACAAUGAGUCUUCUUUGGGAGACAAAAGAGGACCUUUGAUUAUAUCGUGGACAUCUAAGAGUUAAGUAAAAUCUAUGAACCUCUUUUCAGAGACGUCGAUAAAAUAUAUAUAAAUGAGAUGAGCUCCCAAGAAAGGACAGAAUAGUUGAGGAAGUAAAUAACCAGUGUGCUGACAGAUAAGUGUAUAAAUGUGUGCAUUGUUAAAAGAAUGGAUUGGGAUUAACUCUUAGUUGUGUCAUACUCACUUUUGUUUGAAUGAGCAGGAGAGAGCCAGAUGACUGUGGGCGGAGAACCAGUGCAUUACCUAACCUGAGCUCCAUUGAAGACAUCGGUGGGUGACUAAGAGGCUACUGUUUUAUCCACAAACUCUUUCACAAACUUAGAAAUUAGUAUUUAGAUGUAAGUGCAUUUAAUUCUAGCUAGCACUGUUUAUAAAUCUUCAGUGUGUGUUCAUUUAUUGAUGAAUAAAGAAAUUUGUAAUUAACAGUAAGGGUUAAUAAGGGAACUGUUAAAAAGACAAAAAAGCAAACUAAGGUGUCAAAUGUAAUUACUCCAGUUGAUGUUGUGCGGAAGAGUUUAUGGUGGGAACACAGCCUGCCAUAGGAGGUAUCAGGAGACUUUUAGCUAAUCUCCUAGGGGUUCCAGCUAUGGACGAGAUUCUACAGAAAGCUGGACUAAAUUGAUAUGUGGGGACUGCUGUGAAUGAUCCAGAGCUGUUUUCUGCAGUUUGAGGUCGAAUGUAGAGAGCAUUGAGUGAUACAUUUCCGACAAAUGCGCAUCCUGAUAAUAUUCUGAUUGAGCCACUCGGACUGAAAGAAAACCCGAGAGCUUAUGUUUCAAGAGCCCUUCAAGUGUGGAGAAAUGUUACAGGAAAUGAUCCGGAUUUGAAUCAAAUGGAACAGUCCAUUUUGCGAGCCAAAAUACAGAAGAGGUUGCCCCUACCAGUGAGGAGCAAACUGGCAGAGGUGGUUGGCCUUGGAAGUAUGGCAAAAGGUGUGAAUACAGAUCAUAUAGCCAACCAGGUGGGGAUGACAAGAAGAAGGAGAAGAAGCAGGCUUUGGUCAAAUAGAGUCAGUCUCUGCUAAAUCAGCUAUCAUCACAACAAUAGCUGAGUCAGGUUCAGCUCUAACUAUCUCAGCUAUCAUUGAUACCUCCAGCUGUUGCAUGCUCUGAUGAAGCACAUGGGUUAGCUUAUGUUGCAAAAGGGGACGUUAGAAGUGAAAUCACAAAGGCGUAUGGGUUUUGGGCACCAUACUUACUUGAGUAGAUUGAUUAUGUCAUAGGUAGGUGCACAAUCUGUUGGAGAAAUAAUGUUCGGAAGGGUAUGAUAGUUCCUCCUGGUCACAUUCUGACUCCAAGGGGUCCUAUGCAUGAGUUGUUGUGGAUUUUUGUUGGCAUCAUAAAACCAGUUGAAGGGAAAAGAUAUUUAUUAGUGGUAGUAGCUUUAUCAGUACCUAAAUUUUGUGUAAAGAAGUCAUAGGUAGAUAGGGACUUCCAGAUCUCCUCAGAUCAUGGGAAAGAGUUUGUGGAUAAGAUAGUAAGAAUGAUUUUGCAAAAUUGGGGAUUAGACAACAUCUUGGAGCAGUUUACCACCCAUAAAGUCAAGGGAAUUGUGAAAAAAUGAAUGCUAGUUUGAAAAAUCGCAUUGCCAAAAUCUGUCAGCAGACAGGUUUAAAUUGGGUAGCAGCACUCCCAUUAACAUUAAUGACGAAGACGAGGAUGAGGUGGAAGAAGAAAGAAAGGGGGGAGGUUUAGUGUUUGGAGAUCGGGAUGCGUUGAAGGGGUGCACACCUUCACGGAUGGACGAUAAAAAUGGACUGAGAGACUAUGAAUAAGAAGGUCUACACCCAACACCAUCAACACCACUUGGGGAGUCGACAUGUGGAAGAGUUUCAGUCUGAUACACUGAUGUGUUCAUAUGUCUUUGCUUGAGUACGUUGGGACCUCAGAUGUGUUUUCUUUUCUUUUCUUUUCUUUUUACGAGUUAGGGAAAUGGGUUUUAGGUUUGUUAUCGGGUCCGACAGGUCGACUAGCCCGCUAACGAACAUUAUUUUAAUUUGUUUAUUUUUGGGGUUCCAAAUGUAUUAGCUUAAGUCACCUUCAUACAUAUUGAAUUUUUCUUUUAACGUUGGACUGGAGUUCCAUAAAGGAGGUUGCUUGUGGCAGGAGAACCGUGAGAGAAUUUUUCCUGUCCAAAUUGUUUGAUGGAAAUUUCAGGAAGGUUGGCUGCCUGACAGGUUUUUUCGCUCUCACACUCCAGACAAUGUCCAGUUGUUAAGCAAAUGUAAUGUGUUAUAUGUGUAGUCGCACUCAUGUUCAUCUUUUGUUUUUUGAGGCCCUGUAUAGCCACGAAGGGGGGAAUAUGAGGUGUAUAGACGAUCAACUACGAACAAAGACCGUUGUAUUAGUAGAUAUGGGGGAAUACAAUUAGACUACACCCUAGGCAGCUCCACAGCAUGGAUAUUUGAUUUGUCAUUAACUGCGCAGGUCAGAACUCAACAUAUAGAGGUUACGAUGCUAUGUCUGAAUGUUGACCUUUCGGGUGAAAGGUCAAAAGGGGGAAUUGUGGAAUUAUUAGCCUUAGUAUUGUUCAUAUUACUUUUUAAGAUGUAUUA